UUCCUACGGGAGGCAGCAGUGGGGAAUAUUGCACAAUGGGCGCAAGCCUGAUGCAGCCAUGCCGCGUGUGUGAAGAAGGCCUUCGGGUUGUAAAGCACUUUCAGUCGUGAGGAAGGGUGGUGUAGUUAAUAGCUGCAUUAUUUGACGUUAGCGACAGAAGAAGCACCGGCUAACUCCGUGCCAGCAGCCGCGGUAAUACGGAGGGUGCGAGCGUUAAUCGGAAUUACUGGGCGUAAAGCGCAUGCAGGUGGUUUGUUAAGUCAGAUGUGAAAGCCCGGGGCUCAACCUCGGAAUAGCAUUUGAAACUGGCAGACUAGAGUACUGUAGAGGGGGGUAGAAUUUCAGGUGUAGCGGUGAAAUGCGUAGAGAUCUGAAGGAAUACCGGUGGCGAAGGCGGCCCCCUGGACAGAUACUGACACUCAGAUGCGAAAGCGUGGGGAGCAAACAGGAUUAGAUACCCUGGUAGUCCACGCCGUAAACGAUGUCUACUUGGAGGUUGUGGCCUUGAGCCGUGGCUUUCGGAGCUAACGCGUUAAGUAGACCGCGCUAGCCAGACGGGCCCAACCUG
rnacentral:rRNA from 1 species